rnacentral:rRNA from 1 species
AGAGUUUGAUCCUGGCUCAGAACGAACGCUGGCGGCAGGCCUAACACAUGCAAGUCGAGCGCACCCUUCGGGGCGAGCGGCGGACGGGUUAGUAACGCGUGGGAAUAUACCCUUCACUACGGAAUAGCCUCGGGAAACUGAGAGUAAUACCGUAUACGCCCUUCGGGGGAAAGAUUUAUCGGUGAUGGAUUAGCCCGCGUCUGAUUAGAUAGUUGGUGGGGUAAUGGCCUACCAAGUCUACGAUCAGUAGCUGGUUUUAGAGGAUGAUCAGCAACACUGGGACUGAGACACGGCCCAGACUCCUACGGGAGGCAGCAGUGGGGAAUCUUAGACAAUGGGCGAAAGCCUGAUCUGGCCAUGCCGCGUGUGUGAUGAAGGCCUUAGGGUCGUAAAGCACUUUCGCCAGGGAUGAUAAUGACAGUACCUGGUAAAGAAACCCCGGCUAACUCCGUGCCAGCAGCCGCGGUAAUAAGGGCGA